rnacentral:rRNA from 1 species
GAUGAACGCUGGCGGCGUGCCUAAUACAUGCAAGUCGAGCGAACGGACUAGAAGCUUGCUUCUCUGAUGUUAGCGGCGGACGGGUGAGUAACACGUGGAUAACCUACCUAUAAGACUGGGAUAACUUCGGGAAACCGUAGCUAAUACCGGAUAAUAUUUUGAACCGCAUGGUUCAAAAGUGAAAGACGGUCUUGCUGUCACUUAUAGAUGGAUCCGCGCUGCAUUAGCUAGUUGGUAAGGUAACGGCUUACCAAGGCAACGAUGCAUAGCCGACCUGAGAGGGUGAUCGGCCACACUGGAACUGAGACACGGUCCAGACUCCUACGGGAGGCAGCAGUAGGGAAUCUUCCGCAAUGGGCGAAAGCCUGACGGAGCAACGCCGCGUGAGUGAUGAAGGUCUUCGGAUCGUAAAACUCUGUUAUUAGGGAAGAACAUAUGUGUAAGUAACUGUGCACAUCUUGACGGUACCUAAUCAGAAAGCCACGGCUAACUACGU